GCAACCAUCCCUUCUUCAGGGCAUUUUGUUCCUUUCAAUCAGAUGGCUGCCCAUUUUUUCUUUUAGUUGAGGAGGCCUCUCCGUUUGUCGCCUGCUUCAGACACACGCAUUGCUCAAGUAUGAAGACCUCCGCGAAAUGCUCAAACGACUGAGAUCUGGCGUGCGUUUAUGCAUGCUGGAGAAAGUGAAAGCGAAAGACGAUCAGGUACCCUAAGAACUAUUUCUCUUGUGCUGAGACAGCACAUUUGAGAUCUUUCUAUACAUGAGCAACCGAACCACCUCUCUAAAAUGUGCAUUAUCAUCCUGAGCAAGUUAAUCUUAAUUUACCACUAAUGCUGCCAUAGAUAGUGUGCUGAAAUACAGUUGGUUGAUUUGCAAUCGUGCAACAUGUGACCGUUUGAUCUUCCAGAGGUGUUUCUUAUGCAGUGAGUAUUCCAUCUUUUUGAUUGGAUGCGGAAGUGUGACAAUGUAAAUGUUGCAUCCCAUGGUACAGUCCUCAAAUUCAUGGGAGAAAACCAUAAUCUUGUGAAAGCGUUGCAAGUAUACAAUGACAAGGGAGAUGAAUCCACAGGAUACAAUGCUGAAAGUAUGCAUUGCGCUUCUUGGUUGUCUUGUUAGGCAUGGCAAGCUUAACACCAGAAUAAACUUGUUAUGAAGAAGGGUGGUCUUAGUCUAGAUAUCAAGACACAUAAUCCUGUAUGUCUGGUGUCUCAUUCCCAUUUUGACCAGAAUUGGUUGACCAAUUUGCUGUUCCAUUUACCAUAUGGACAAUGUCCCUGGAAUAAUGGAAUAGCUUUUAUCUACUUGUCUAGUAUGUUCUGCUUAUGUAGUUACAGCUAGCUGGUCAGAUCUGCUUUUUUUGUUCAUUAUCAACUGCUUGCAGGUUGCAAAAAAACUAAGGAUAGGCACUCCAAGUCUUCAAAGAACUUAUUUGUAAUGGUCUUUACAUAGACAGGGUCAUCUAUGGGACUAUUUUAGCAGUUUGUGCAUCAAAUGAUAACUGAAAGUUGUUCACCAAAUUGAUUUCACUACAGCUCGGUUCUUAAUGUCCAUACAGUGGACAGAGUCUUUGUUCAAGCAAAAAAGCUUGUCAAAGAUAUGACUCACACUAAGUUCUUUGGUUAAUGCAAAUACAAUGCAGAUACCAUUUUUCAUUUUGGUGGAUGGAAAAGCAAAGGGGCAAACGGAUGAAGCCAAGACCAUUUUUUAAGACAUGAAAAUGAAGGGUAUGAAAUCAAGGCCAUUUUUUAAGACAUGAAAAUGAAGGGUAUGAAAUCUGGUUAAUGUUCUAGUAGUU